rnacentral:misc_RNA from 1 species
GCACGCCCAAAGUGUGCUCUCUCACGUCCAUCUCACCCCUUUGUGCAUCACCGCGUGGGGCUCCCCUAUCAAAAGGGGGGGUUCACGUUUUUACACAGACNCCUUUUUUAAUGCAUGUGUAGACGGUCUUGCUUUUUGCGAUCACACGCAAUCAAUACAACUUUCAACAACGGAUCUCUUGGCUCUCGCAUCNAUGAAAAACGCAGCGAANUGCGAUACNUAAUGUGAAUUGCAGAAUUCNNUGAAUCAUCGAAUCUUUGAACGCACCUUGCACCCCUUGUAUUCCNAGGNNUACNCCCGUUUGAGUGUCGUGAACACCAUUCAACCUUUUUGGUCUUUGACUGGGAAGGCUUGGACUUUGNAGGUUUUCCUUUGCUGGCCCCUCUUUUGAUGUCAGCUCCUCCUAAAUGANUUAUUGGGGUCCGCUUUGCCGAUCCUUGACGUGAUAANUAUGCUUCUACNUCUUGNGUUUCGCACCGUUGNCCNGGANCCUGCUUCCAAUAUNCUUC